rnacentral:lncRNA from 1 species
UAUGACCGGACUGGAUCGCAUGUCAAUAAGUGGGGGAACUAGCUGACAUUCUGCGACCCAGUUCUGAUCAUAUUAUUUUGUAGGGGAACUAACUCUGAAUAAUGAUGGUAGAGCAUAGGUAACGCAUUGUCUGAUUUUCUUUGUAUAACGCACAAGAAGUCAAUAAAACACUAAGUUCGAUGAUUGUAUAUUAAUUAUUCUCG